AGAGUUUGAUCCUGGCUCAGAUUGAACGCUGGCGGCAUGCUUUACACAUGCAAGUCGAACGGUAACAGGGUGCUUGCACCGCUGACGAGUGGCGAACGGGUGAGUAAUGCAUCGGAAUGUACCGUGUAAUGGGGGAUAGCUCGGCGAAAGCCGGAUUAAUACCGCAUACGCCCUGAGGGGGAAAGUGGGGGACCGAAAGGCCUCACGUUAUACGAGCAGCCGAUGUCUGAUUAGCUAGUUGGUGAGGUAAAGGCUCACCAAGGCGUCGAUCAGUAGCGGGUCUGAGAGGAUGAUCCGCCACACUGGGACUGAGACACGGCCCAGACUCCUACGGGAGGCAGCAGUGGGGAAUUUUGGACAAUGGGCGCAAGCCUGAUCCAGCCAUGCCGCGUGUCUGAAGAAGGCCUUCGGGUUGUAAAGGACUUUUGUCCGGGAGCAAAUCCUAGUGGUUAAUAACCGCUGGGUCUGAGAGUACCGGAAGAAUAAGCACCGGCUAACUACGUGCCA
rnacentral:rRNA from 1 species